GGGGGGGGGGGGCGGGGGGGGGGGGGCGGGCGGGGGGGGCGGGGGGGGCGGGCGUGGCGGGGGGCGGGGGGGGGGCGCGGGGGAACGUGCCCUUGGCGUCGGAAUAGCCCUGGGAAACUGGGAGUAAUACCGGAUGAGCCCUUUGGGGGAAAGAUUUAUCGGCGAAGGAUCGGCCCGCGUUGGAUUAGGUAGUUGGGGGGGUAAUGGCCUACCAAGCCGACGAUCCAUAGCUGGUUUGAGAGGAUGGUCAGCCACACUGGGACUGAGACACGGCCCAGACUCCUACGGGAGGCAGCAGUGGGGAAUCGUAGACAAGGGGGGAAACCCUGAUCUAGCCAUGCCGCGUGAGCGAUGAAGGCCUUAGGGUUGUAAAGCUCUUUCAGCUGGGAAGAUAAUGACGGUACCAGCAGAAGAAGCCCCGGCUAACUCCGUG
rnacentral:rRNA from 1 species